CCGCCAUGAUUGUGAGGCUUCCCCAGCCAUGUGGAAACAUAUUCGCAGAGCACCCACUAGGUGCCAGUAAAUGUAUGAGAAGUCCUGUGGAAUAAGACUGAAGUUGUCCUUGCCUUCAAGCAACUUGCAAUUGCCUAAGAACACAGUUUAAAACCACAAAACUAAGCCUUGGAAAUCACAUGCUGUCAUUUCUGCGAUCGGUCAUAACCAGUCCUGAUUCCAUGUUAGAGGAGACUACAUAAGGACACAGGUACCAGAAGAUGAAAAAUUUGGAGUCUAGUGAAAAGAAGUGACUUGCUCAAAAUCACACAGCACAUGAAGAACAGAGCCUCUAUGAUGAAUUUCUUGACAGCUGAUAUAAGUCUUUUGAGGUACAGCCUGGCACAAAAAGGAUGAGAUUUGUGGGCAGAAUUUUGGAAGAAUAUCUCCCGAGAGAACAUUCAGGACAGAUUGCACUGCUUUGGAGAGCUGGUGAUGAAAUCCGGCCAUUGAAUUACACUGCACUAUAAACUUCAUUUGUUCUUGGGUGCAUAGUGAUUUGCUAUAAUAAUGAUCAUCCAUUUGCCAGACAGCUGAGAUUUUUUAAAAGCUUGAUUGCUUUUGGCAUGGCAUUAUUAGUCCUGGAAGAAGGCAGCACAUUUGUAGCAAUUCUCAGCUUGAGCAAACUAGAAUAUUCACCUCCCACAAAUGCUGGCCAUUUAAGAUCUGUGUGUUAGACUUUGGCAUUUUUUCUAGCAAUUCUACAACAGCAUACACACUUUUAUUUUUCAUUAACACCAUUGUGAAUAUGCCCAUCUCUAAAAUUUCAAGGGGGUUCACUUAAGCUACUGAGUUUUAUGGACAGAAGGGCCAAGAAAAGUCCCCAAAGAAGAGUGCAUGCUGUCAAUUGCCAAUUAUUUUUUUUUCUAAUGAAAGCCAAACAAUUCCAGACAAACCCUUUUCUAAGAAAUGAACUACAUAUCUGGAUCCAAAUAAAUACUCAUCUGAUAAGAAUCUAAAAGCUCUACUGAAUUACAGUGGAUGAGAACAUGAUGAUGGUGAUUCUUUGAAGAUUACUGAGGAAAUCAACUCUCAUGUCUGAUUCUGAUACUUUUAUAGUCCAUCCAUGUUGAAAAUGUCUAUGGAAUGAUUCUGUUGUACCUUGAGAAAUGAAAUUCAUAGGCAUGGAUUCUCUCACACAGCAACUUUAUACACAAAGAUGAGAAUAGAAGAAAGGUCAUUUCCAAAGAAAGUGACAUUUAUUCUGUAUUCACUGAAAAGCCAAAAGAAUUUUCUCAUUCACCCAUACCGACAGAGCCCUACAUCUCCCCGAGAAGAGGUGAAAGAGACUGCUCCUAUCUGCUUCUGCAUCAAACUUCAGGCUCAAGACCUGUCCAGAAAAAAAAAUGUCUUCUUUCAGGGAUGAACUGCUGUCCUCAUCAGACGCCUUAUUUUGUUUAGAAUUCAAGCUCACUUGACAGGUUAUUGUGAAGAUUAAAUGAAUUAAUACAUGUGAAGCAACUGUAACAACUCUUGACAUGCGUGGGCUGGACUUCCAGAAGAAACGUUGUCAGAACUCUGCCCAACUGAAAACAAGCCUACUAAAAAUAAAUAAAUAAAUAAAAUUUUAAAAAAUUGA
rnacentral:lncRNA from 1 species